CAAAAGCUCACACUCAGUCCCAGGAUUAAGUUACUAAUCACUUGAUGUUGUCUUAAUUGAAAGGCAGAUUACCCAGACUAGUCCCUUCUGCCUUCUGGGCAGGUCACAUCUGAAAGAUUAUCCUCUUUGAAUCAGUUUGAAUGUUCUAGUGACCAGGCCACACAGUUUCUCUUGACAUUUAAAAAUAAAGCUUCCAGUCUUGUCACUAAUGGAUUUGGGGUCCAGUACCCUUAAAAUCACCUCAGAGCUGCCUGAAUCCAUAGACUACUUGCAGAAUCACUGGUUUUACUUGGAUCAAGCCAUCUGAGAAGAAAAAAGCAUUGGAAAUGGAGGAGACUGUCAAGGACAAUAAUAAAUGAUGUUUGGCUGAAAUAAAAACUCAAAGCCCCCACAAUAUUGAACCACCAUUCCAGACCCAGCCAAGGUUUGGAACAUAAAGUGAGCUGAAUGAAUCAGCCUGCAGGCAACCCAGAGAAAGUAAUUGUUCAUCCUAGCAGCACGGCUGCUUUUCUGCUUAGCAUCUGAACAAGUUAAUUUGGAAACACAGCCUUCUGGAAAGAAAUGGCGCUUCUCUCAGCAUCCCAUGGAUUCAUGAGCAGCUCCUUGAAUGCAAAUAUUGCCUGAUAUUUUCAUGGUGAGGGAGAAUGGGAGAAACAAGAAAUGAUUACAUUAUUGUGGAUACUUUUAUUCACCACAAUGGAAGUCUUUAAACAUAAAGUUGAUGUACAUUAAGAGGCAAGACCCAGGGCAUAUCAUCUAAAGAAGAUUCCUCCCACUUUUC
rnacentral:lncRNA from 1 species